AAUCAAACUGGUGCCCAUAUGGGAUGCAGGCGCUGCAGGCCAGGGCCUUAACCCACUGUGCCACAGCACCAGUCCUGGGAACAUUAUCUUUUUGUUACAGCUUGGAUGAUAGUUUGGGAGUCCCCCAAAGACCCAUAUGUGGGUUGUUUGAUCCUCAGAGUCUUAGGUAAAUGUAUUAAGAAGGUGAGAACUCUGGGAAGUGAUUGGUUUGAAUUAGGUGGCAACAGCGAAAGCUCAUGAUUGAAUUAUGAUGGAUUUUUUAAGGAUGACCACAUGGAGGAGUGUUUACCCUUACUCUCUGCUUCCUUCCCUGCUGUGUGAUCAUUCCUCUGAUACCUUCCAGCCUUACCAGGUGCCUGAACCAAUGGUAUCACCAAAUCUUGGACUGUGAACCUCCAAAACUAUAAAAAUGGGAGGCAGGAGCCCAAGCACAAGUGCCAUCUUCUGCUGCCUUCACAGGUGUAAUUACUGGGAGCCAGGUCAGGAGCUGAUCAGAAGGGAUUCCAACCUGCACUCAUGUGGGAAUCUGGCAUCACAUGUGGGAGCACUGUCUGCUGAGCCACAGCCCUUGUCUGGACAUCUGGCGUUUUCAACCUUUGUCCAUAGGCCUGACUCCAAGCAAAGAGCUCCAUUCAAGGCACCCACAUGGCUCACAGUCCACAUCUGGAAGGAGGCUCAAUGAUCCAAGCUGUCAGAGGGAAAUCAGGACUGCCAGAUUAAAUAAGGCUGGAAGGAGUAUCGCUCCUGUCAUGGCAGAGCCCCCUGCUGAGGAGGACAGAGCAACUCUGGGAGAGGACACACGGACAGGCAGGAGGGCAUCUAAGCAGAGUCCUGAAGAAACUAGAACCAACGAGGAAGAGAACACAGAGAAGCUGACGGCCCCCAGAUCCUGUCCUGCGAGAUGUGCUCAAGUUGAUCGGCAGAUGGGCAGCUAG
rnacentral:lncRNA from 1 species